GAUCCAGUGGCUUAGUGGUUAGAGCUUCCGCUUCGGAUGCGGGAGGUUGUAGGUUCGAUCCCCAGUCGAGUCA